rnacentral:rRNA from 1 species
CGGCGAACGGGUGAGUAACGCGUGGAUGACCUACCUUGAGGUGGGGGAUAACUCGGGGAAACUCGAGCUAAUACCGCAUAUGAUCGCGAGAUCAAAGGGGCGCAAGUCCCGCCAUGAGAGGGGUCCGCGUACGAUUAGCUAGUUAGUAGGGUAAUGGCCUACCAAGGCGACGAUCGUUAGCCGGCCUGAGAGGGUGAUCGGCCACACUGGAACUGAGACACGGUCCAG